rnacentral:rRNA from 1 species
AACGAACGCUGGCGGCAGGCCUAACACAUGCAAGUCGAACGGAUGUAGCAAUACAUUAGUGGCGCACGGGUGCGUAACGCGUGGGAAUAUACCCUUUGGUAAGGAAUAAUGUCUGGAAACGGACACUAAUACCUUAUAAUGACUUCGGUCCAAAGAUUUAUCGCCAAGGGAUUAGCCCGCGUCUGAUUAGGUAGUUGGUGGGGUAACGGCCUACCAAGCCUACGAUCAGUAGCUGGUCUGAGAGGAUGAUCAGCCACACUGGAACUGAGACACGGUCCAGACUCCUACGGGUGGCUG